rnacentral:rRNA from 1 species
CAGGCCUAACACAUGCAAGUCUDACGGGUGUAGCAAUACCUAGUGGCGCACGGGWGUAACGCGUAACCAACUGCCCUGAACUGGGKGAUAGCCCGCCGAARGUUAAUACCGCAUAAAHCAACAGUACGGCAUCGUAUAAUUGGUAAAGAUUUAUUGGUUCAGGAUGGGGUUGCGUGACAUUAGCUAGUUGGCGGGGUAACGGCCCACCAAGGCGACGAUGUCUAGGGGACCUGAGAGGGUGAUCCCCCACACUGGCACUGAGAUACGGGCCAGACUCCUACGGGAGGCAGCAGUAGGGAAUAUUGGGCAAUGGGCGAGACGUGACCCAGCCAUGCCGCGUGCCGGAUGAAGGCCUUCUGGGUUGUAAACGGCUUUUCUCAGGGAAGAAAAAGACCAUGCGUGGUACACUGACGGUACCUGAGGAAUAAUCACCKDCUAACUCCGUGUCAGCAGCCGCGGUAAUACGGAGGGUGCAAUCGUUGUCCGGACUUAUUGGGUUUAAGGGUGCGUAGGUGGCCCGUUAAGUCCGGGGUGAAAGCCACAGCUCAACUGUGGAACUGCCCUGGAUACUGGCGGGCUUGAGUACAGACGAGGUUGGCGGAAUGGAAGAUGUAGCGGUGAAAUGCAUAGAUAUCUUCCAGAACCCCGAUUGCGUAGGCAGCUGACUAGGCUGGUACUGACACUGAGGCACGAAAGCGUGGGGAGCGAACAGGAUUAGAUACCCUGGUAGUCCACGCCGUAAACGAUGGAUACUCGCUGGGUGGCGAUAGACAGUCACUGGCUUAGCGAAACGGUAAGUAUACCACCUGGGGAGUACGCUCGCAAGAUGAAACUCAAAGGGAAUUUACGGGGGGCGCACAAGUGGUGGAGCAUGUGGUUUAUUCGAUGAUACGCGAGG